rnacentral:rRNA from 1 species
CAAGGGUGAGGAACACGUGAACAACCUGCCUUCGAGUUGGGGAUAGCUUCUGGAAACGGGAGAUAAUACCGAAUAACAUCACCGGAAUCGCAUGAUCUGAUGAUCAAAGCAGCAAUGCGCUUGAAGAGGGGUUCGACGUCCCAUUAGCUAGUUGGUGAGGUAACGGCCCACCAAGGCGAUGAUGGGUAGCUGGUCUGAGAGGACGAUCAGCCACAUUGGGACUGAGAUACUGGCCCAGACUCCUACGGGAGGCUGCAGUCGAGAAUUUUGGGCAAUGGACGAAAGUCUGACCCAGCCAAUGCCGCGUGCGGGAUGAAGGUCUUCGGAUUGUAAACCGCUGUCAAGAGGGACGAAACAUGACGGUACCUCUGGAGGAAGCCACGGCUAACUACGUGCCAGCCGCAGC